UUUUCAUUUACUCAGGCGAUUCGGCGAUUCCAUGUUUUCUCAUCUUUGACUAGUACUUCCACGGACGCGACCGCGGAGUUAAAUCCCAUUCUCCUUGCUUCCCUUCAGAGAUUUUCUCCUCUUGCCCUUUCCCUCCGUUUACUGCGCCCGGUUUUCCGACGACGGGAACUCCGGUUUUCGCCGGAAAUCCUGUCCGAAAACCGAUAUUCUCUCCCCCGCGAAAUUGUUCUUGCUUGUCGAGAUAUCGCUUCUCUUCAGUCUUUUCUAGCGGCGUCAACUUCAAAGACACUUCAUCUCCAGUCCAAAACGGUUUCAGAUUUCAACUAUUACAACUCAGAACAGCUCUCAUUUCUCAGCAUCAAAAGGACUAAAUGAAUCACAAAUAAAAGGAGAACUGUUCCAAGACUUCAUAUUCGAUGGAGCUUUUAGGGUUUGGGUUCACUGGAUUUUGGUUUCAGAUUACAGGAGACUUGCAGAUCCGCAAAGCUUCGUUUUUCUGAGGCUUAUGACUGCUUGACUUGUUCUUAUUCGACUGUUUUCAUCGUUUUGGGGGGAGACGUGAGGAGUUUCUUUUUCUUUUUCUUUUUUAUCUGGAGUUGAACAUUGAUGGUAGUUCACGGUCAAGUCUGUCAUCUAUGAUGACUGAAACUCUUGAACGAUCGAUGCGGGUGGUGGUUUGGAGAGUCUCUCACAUGGAAUGGCAGAUCUUGUUAGCUACGGAAAUGCGGAACGAGACGUCGAGCAGGCAUUAACUGCUUUGAAGAAAGGUGCUCAACUUCUAAAGUAUGGUCGUAAAGGAAAGCCAAAGUUUUGCCCAUUUAGACUUUCAAAUGAUGAAUCAUCUUUGAUCUGGUUUUCAAGUGGUGGAGAAAGGAAAUUAAAGUUAGCUUCUGUUUCAAAAGUUGUUCCUGGACAAAGAACUUCUGUUUUCAAACGGUAUUUGUGCCCUGAGAAGGAAUACCUGUCUUUUUCUCUUAUAUACGACAAUGGAAAGCGAUCCCUUGAUCUGAUUUGCAAGGACAAAGUUGAGGCUGAGGUGUGGAUUGCAGGCCUCAAGGCACUGGUUUCUUCCAGUCAAUGUGGACGUUCAAAAAUUGAUGGAUGGAGUGAUGGAGGACUUUCUUUUGAUGAUGGUAGAGAUCUGACAUCCAAUAGCCCCAGUGACAGUUCAGUCAGUGCCACACAAGAUAUUAGCUCUCCGGAGACAUCCGUUGGUUCCAACAGUACUUUCCCUAAAAGUUGUCCUGAGAGUUCAGUGCAUUCUGACAGAUCACAUGUAGCAUUGGAUCACACAAAUAUGCAAGUAAAGGGAUCUGCUUCAGAGGUUUUUCGAGUUAGUGUUUCAAGUGCUCCAAGUACAUCUAGCCAUGGUUCUGCUCAGGAUGAUUGCGAUGCUUUAGGCGAUGUAUACAUAUGUGGUGAGGUUAUAUGUGAUAAUUUUGUCAAGGCUGGGGCUGAUAAAACUGUAAAUCCUUUCAGCACGAGGGCUGAUGUGCUUCUCCCUAGACCAUUAGAGUCCAAUAUAGUUUUGGAUGUUCAUCAUAUAGCUUGUGGUGUUAGACAUGCUGCACUAGUCACAAGGCAAGGAGAGGUUUUUACAUGGGGUGAAGAGUCUGGUGGACGACUUGGCCAUGGAAUCGGGAAAGAUGUUGUUCAGCCUCAUCUGGUUGAAUCACUAGCAGUCUCCUAUGUUGAUUUUGUUGCCUGUGGAGAGUUCCAUACUUGUGCUGUUACCCUGGCUGGUGAACUUUAUACAUGGGGAGAUGGCACACAUAAUGCUGGGUUGCUUGGUCAUGGUACUGAUGUCAGCCACUGGAUACCCAAGAGAGUUUCUGGUCCAUUGGAGGGACUUCAGGUUGCUUCACUUACAUGUGGUCCAUGGCACACAGCCUUGAUAACAUCUACAGGGCAGCUAUUCACCUUUGGUGAUGGAACAUUUGGUGUUUUGGGCCAUGGUAACAGGGAAAGUGUUGCAUAUCCAAGAGAAGUGGAUUCUCUUGCAGGAUUGAGGACAAUUGCUGUUGCCUGUGGUGUGUGGCAUACUGCUGCUGUGGUGGAGGUUAUUGUGACACAGUCUAGUGCAAGUAUUUCAUCAGGGAAAUUAUUUACUUGGGGCGAUGGGGACAAGAAUCGCCUUGGUCAUGGAGACAAAGAAUCUCGGUUAAAACCCACAUGUGUGCCUUCUCUCAUUGAAUAUAAUUUUCACAAGGUUGCUUGUGGGCACAGUUUAACUGUUGGCUUGACAACAUCAGGGCAUGUUUUUACCAUGGGAAGUUCAGUUUAUGGCCAGCUUGGCAAUCCCCAUUCUGAUGGGAAGCUGCCUUGCUUGGUGGAAGAUAAGCUUGCAGGGGACUGUGUUGAAGAAGUUGCUUGUGGUGCAUAUCAUGUGGCAGUGCUAACAUCACGGAAUGAGGUUUACACAUGGGGAAAGGGAGCCAAUGGAAGACUGGGCCAUGGAGAUAUUGAGGAUCGGAAAACACCAACAUUGGUAGAAGCUUUAAAGGAUAGACAUGUUAAAUAUAUUGCUUGUGGUUCAAACUACACAGCAGCUAUAUGCCUCCAUAAAUGGGUAGCAGGGGCAGAGCAGUCUCAGUGCUCAGCUUGUAGACAGGCAUUUGGGUUUACUCGAAAGAAGCACAAUUGCUAUAACUGUGGACUGGUACACUGCCACUCCUGUAGCUCUAGAAAAGCUUUAGGAGCAGCCCUAGCUCCAAAUUCUGGUAAGCCAUAUCGUGUGUGUGAUUCUUGUUAUGCCAAACUGAACAAGGUGUCAGAACCAGGAGGUACUAAUAACAAAAGGAAUGCCAUACCCAGACUUUCGGGUGAAAAUAAAGACAAGUUAGACAAAGCUGAGAUUAGACUAUCCAAGUCUGCAAUGCCUACCAAUAUGGAUUUGAUUAAACAGCUAGAUAGCAAAGCAUUCAAACAUGGAAAGAAGGUUGACACUUUCUCUCUUGUUCGUUCUUCCCAAGCACCCACUUUGUUGCAGCUAAAGGAUCUUGCUUUGUUUACUAGCACUGACCUGCGCCGCACAGCUCCAAAACCAGUACUCACAUCAGUAGGUCAUUCUACAAUCAGUUCAAGGGCGGUAUCACCUUUCUCUAGGAAACCUAGCCCACCUCGUUCUGCAACACCUAUUCCUACAACAUCAGGUCUUUCUUUUUCCAAAAGUAUUGCAGAUAGCUUGAAGAAAACAAAUGAGCGUUUGAGUCAAGAAGUGCAGAAAUUACGUGCCCAGGUUGAUAGCUUGAGACAACGGUGUGAACUACAAGAAUUUGAGCUGCAGAAAUCAGCUAAGAAAGCUCAAGAAGCUCUUGCACUGGCUGCAGAAGAAUCUGCCAAAUCCAAAGCUGCAAAAGAAGUUAUAAAAUCCCUUACUGCACAGCUCAAAGACAUGGCUGAGAGGCUUCCACCUGGGGCCUAUGAGACUGAAAGCUUGAGGCCAGUCUACCUACCAAAUGGCCUGGAUCCAAAUGGCAUUCAUCAUCCUGAUGUAAAUGGAGAGCUCAACUCAAGAUCUGGUGCAACCCAUGAUACUCUUUUGGCUUCUACCACAGGAGUCGUAUGUGGUGCCAUGAAUGGAACUCCAGGUCAGGUUCAUUUGCCGAGGAAUGUACCCGGAGCCCAAGAAACCAAUGCCUGCCUACAAAAUCAGGGAGUUCUAGCUUCCAACGGGAUGGAUGACCAUGCAGACAUGGGAUUGCAGAAUGGUAAUGGAGGGAUACAUGAUAGUAGCAAUAGUAGACCUGAUGCUGAUGGCAGGGAGCCUGAGCCUUUCCAGAAUGGUGAGAAUGGUAUGAAAUCCAGGAGUGUCUCUCUAACAGGAAAUAGCCAUCAAGUUGAGGCUGAAUGGAUCGAACAAUAUGAACCUGGUGUAUAUAUAACACUUGUGGCCCUACGUGAUGGAACUAGAGAUCUAAAGAGAGUGCGCUUCAGCCGCAGAAGAUUUGGAGAGCACCAAGCAGAAAUUUGGUGGUCAGAGAACCGUGAGAAGGUUUAUGAGAGGUAUAAUGUCAGGGUGUCAGACAGAUCAUCAGGUGCCACUGGGCAAUCAGUAGAUUCAGUACGCAGACCUGAGGAAGCCACUUCACCAUCUUCUCAAACGUAGCAGCAGAGCAGAUAUGUCUCUUUUUUGGAUCCUGUAUUGUGAUGGUUUUGAAGGCUGAACUAGAUUGUGGGGUUUCACCAUUUGCUGGUCCGAAUAAGAUUUCUUAUCUAAAAGCUGCUUGUUUGGGUGAUUAAUAUUCACAGCCAUCCUAUGUAGUGUACUGUUGUGGAAGGCAAGAAAGCUUAAUGCCACCCGUGAAACAACGUGAACAAAACGAGGAAAUGGUAGUAGUAGCAGUAAGGCUGCAACUUGGGGCCGGGUUGGCCCAAACCCAACCCGAAAAAGUUGG